UCCGGGCCAGGGAGGAUAUUGGAUGUCGGGAGGGGUCGGUAUGCAAAUUUCUUCAGACGCCCCCCGCCUCAGUGUCAUCCUAGCUACACGUAUAUUCUUGGCUUCCGCAUCUGCAAAUCAUCUCACCGAGAGUGUAAAAGUUUAUUUAUUGAUAAUGGAUCAAGAAAGGGGAGGAUUUGUUAGUUCUUCAUUUUGAUACGACGUGUCCAGUUCAAUGUCACGUUGGACAAUAUUGCAAUUUUCCGAGCAACUGACUCAUGGG
rnacentral:lncRNA from 1 species